rnacentral:rRNA from 1 species
UACGGAGGGUGCAAGCGUUAUCCGGAUUCACUGGGUUUAAAGGGUGCGUAGGCGGGCUGGUAAGUCAGUGGUGAAAUCCCCGAGCUUAACUUGGGAACUGCCAUUGAUACUAUCAAUCUUGAAUACCGUGGAGGUCAGCGGAAUAUGUCAUGUAGCGGUGAAAUGCUUAGAGAUGACAUAGAACACCAAUUGCGAAGGCAGCUGGCUGCACAAAUAUUGACACUGAGGCACGAAAGCGUGGGGAGCAAACAGG